rnacentral:rRNA from 1 species
UACAGAGGUGGCAAGCGUUGUUCGGAAUUACUGGGCGUAAAGGGCGCGUAGGCGGUUCGAUAAGUCCUGUGUGAAAGCCCCCGGCUCAACUGGGGAACUGCACGGGAAACUGACGGACUUGAGUUCGGGAGAGGGAAGCGGAAUUCCGGGUGUAGCGGUGAAAUGCGUAGAUAUCCGGAGGAACACCGGUGGCGAAGGCGGCUUCCUGGACCGACACUGACGCUGAGGCGCGAAAGCGUGGGGAGCAAACAGG